UACGUAGGGGGCAAGCGUUGUCCGGAUUCAUUGGGCGUAAAGAGCGUGUAGGCGGCCAGGUAGGUCGGUUGUGAAAACUAGAGGCUCAACCUUCAGAGGUCGACCGAAACCAUCUGGCUAGAGUCCGGGAGAGGAGAGUGGAAUUCCUGGUGUAGCGGUGAAAUGCGCAGAUAUCAGGAAGAACACCCGUGGCGAAAGCGGCUCUCUGGAACGGUACUGACGCUGAGACGCGAAAGCGUGGGGAGCGAACAGG
rnacentral:rRNA from 1 species